GAGUGGACGUUGAGCAAGGGAGCUCGUGGCAUUCCUUACUGCCGAGGCCAAUGCCGUUGAAAUACGCUGUGCCGUUAUGGAUGUCGGGAGUUUCGGCAUCGUAUUCUACAUCGUGAACUUCGUAAUCGACGUGCAAACGACGUGUGCAUCGCAUC
rnacentral:lncRNA from 1 species